rnacentral:rRNA from 1 species
UCGAGAAUCUUCGGCAAUGCGCGAAAGCGUGACCGAGCGAUGCCGCGUGUGGGAUGAAGGCCCUCGGGUUGUAAACCACUGUCAGUUGGGAGGAAGGCUUCGUGAAGAGCGAAGCUUGACCCAUCUUCAGAGGAAGACCGGGCUAAGUUCGUGCCAGCAGCCGCGGUAAGACGAACCGGUCAAACGUUAUUCGGAAUCAUUGGGCUUAAAGGGUGCGUAGGCGGUGCGGUCAGUCGGGUGUGAAAUCCCUCGGCUCAACCGAGGAACUGCGCCCGUUACUGCCGUGCUUGAGGGUGACAGAGGCGAGCGGAACUGAUGGUGGAGCGGUGAAAUGCGUUGAUAUCAUCAGGAACACCGGUGGCGAAAGCGGCUCGCUGGGUCUCUUCUGACGCUGAGGCACGAAAGCUAGGGUAGCGAACGGGAUUAGAUACCCCCGUAGUCC